rnacentral:rRNA from 1 species
AUUGAACGCUGGCGGCAUGCCUUACACAUGCAAGUCGAACGGCAGCGGACCUUCGGGUGCCGGCGAGUGGCGAACGGGUGAGUAAUAUAUCGGAACGUACCUUUCAGUGGGGGAUAACGUAGCGAAAGUUACGCUAAUACCGCAUAUUCUGUGAGCAGGAAAGCAGGGGAUCGCAAGACCUUGCGCUGAUUGAGCGGCCGAUAUCAGAUUAGCUAGUUGGUGAGGUAAAGGCUCACCAAGGCGACGAUCUGUAGCGGGUCUGAGAGGAUGAUCCGCCACACUGGAACUGAGACACGGUCCAGACUCCUACGAGAGGCAGCAGUGGGGAAUUUUGGACAAUGGGCGCAAGCCUGAUCCAGCCAUGCCGCGUGAGUGAAGAAGGCCU